UGCUCAAAUAAUGUCAUUUUUUAAAUUGAUUUUUCGGAUUUUUUGGGGGUAUUUUUCUGUUCAAAUAUUUUAAUUGUUUUAAAAUGUUUUAAUCCUCUUUGAUGAAUGAGGCCCUACUAAAUAUUUAUACAUAUGCAUGAACUUGUACGCAACGCCCAGCUGGCUACGUGGAAGAAGAAGAGACUGCGACACCUGGAGUUCAGUAGAUUAAUUUAGUAGUGUAAACGUAUCUCAAAUAUUAUUUUGUUUGUUUGGAGCACGUAAUUUCUUCCCUGUAAAAAAAUCUGUAGAAGGCUGAACAUUGCAAUAUGCACUUCUGAAAAUCCCAGCAAAUCAGUGGACUCAUUGCUCAUCUCGAUGGCUAUAGUGUUGCUUUCUUGGUUUACUUCGUGAAUACUUACCUGGAUAAACUGACUAAUUGCCUAUUAUUUCUCUCACGAGAAACACCCUUCGAAAAUAAUAGAACAGUUGACUCCUGGCGCCAAGCACAACCGGCCCCGCAACCAUGCAACUUCCUCAUUCUUUUUGGAUAGUCGAAAGUUACACCGUUGAUUGUUUCGUGCUCGCUCGUUAAUUCUGCUGAAUGUAAAAAUUCUGUAGAAGGCUGAACAUUGUAAUAUGCACUUCUGAAAAUCCCAGCAAACCAGUGGACUCAUCCUCCUCAGCUCGAUGACUAUAAUGUUGCUUUCGUGUUUUGCGCUCGUUCAUUCUGCUGAAUGUGAAUUCAUCCUGCUCUAUGGCUUAUUCCGAAAACUGAUUGACAAUCGCACGAUUCUGAUACUGAUGCAAGUUGUCUUGAUCCAGUAACUUCAAGAACUCUUCAAGAUGUUCCAACUAAAUUUCAGUAGGAAUGAAAUGAGACCAGGAUGAUACACAAAACCAAUAGAUGAAACAAGAAAACAGGCUAAAAAAUAUGGAGCGAACACGAGGAUACUACAGGAACAGCAAGAGAGGGGAAAUUAUAGAGAAGCAGAAAAUGAAAAAUGAUAAACCAAAUGUGGGAAAAUAUAGACAAUAAUGUGUUUCAAAAUUCAUACCAAAGACCUAAACCAUAACAAUGGCUACAACCAAGCUUUAGGUCAUGGAUUUUUUUACUGCAUUUGGCACGAAUGCACUAUUAAAAUUGAAUUUGAGGGCUAACACUAUGUUUGAAAACAUACAAAAUACAGCUAACCUGAACUGCGAGCACACACACGCUUUUAAUUUACUAUCUAUUUAGUACCGUUAUUUUAUCAUAUUCAGUAUAAAGGUCGGGGUACACAUUUCAUAAAUUCAAUCAUUUCUAUGCUCAAUUUAAUGAUUGGCAUGUUAGUACAAAAUAAACAAGAUAAUUUCAGAACUAUUUUAUAUAAUUUUUUUCACUUUUUAGGCGACAAUACAUUUUUAUGUCAAACAACAAAGAUUUCUUCAAACUAUAAGGCACCAAAUGUACUUUC